CCUACGGGUGGCAGCAGUGAGGAAUAUUGGUCAAUGGGCGUACGCCUGAACCAGCCAAGUCGCGUGAGGGAAGACUGCCCUAUGGGUUGUAAACCUCUUUUGUCAGGGAGCAACGCCGGCUACGUGUAGCCGGACUGAGAGUACCUGAAGAAAAAGCAUCGGCUAACUCCGUGCCAGCAGCCGCGGUAAUACGGAGGUUGCGAGCGUUAUCCGGAUUUAUUGGGUUUAGAGGGGGCGUAGGCGGAAUGCCAAGUCAGCGGUAAAAUCGCGGGGCUCAGACUCGCUCCGCCGUUGAAACUGGCGGUCUUGAGUGGGCGAGAAGUAUGCGGAAUGCGUGGUGUAGCGGUGAAAUGCAUAGAGAUCACGCAGAACUCCGAUUGCGAAGGCAGCAUACCGGCGCCAAACUGACGCUGAAGCACGAAAGCGUGGGUAUCGAACAGGAGUAGAGACCCCAGUAGUC
rnacentral:rRNA from 1 species